rnacentral:rRNA from 1 species
UCCACCGAUUGACUAAGGUUUCCAGAGGAAGGCUCGUCCGCUCUGGGUUAGUCGGGUCCUAAGCUGAGGCCGACAGGCGUAGGCGAUGGAUAACAGGUUGAUAUUCCUGUACCACCAUUAUUCGUUUUAAGCGAUGGGGGGACGCAGUAGGAUAGGCGAAGCGUGCUGUUGGAGUGCACGUCCAAGCAGUGAGAUUGAGUGUUAGGCAAAUCCGGCACUCUUAAGAUUGAGCUGUGAUGGGGAGAGGAACUUGUU